ACCUAGCUGGCUCAUUUGGUAGAGCACGUGACUCCUGAUCUCGGGGUCAUAAGUUCAAACCCCACGUUGGGUG
rfam:Canis lupus familiaris chromosome 6, whole genome shotgun sequence.